AAGUCGUAACAAGGUUUCCGUAGGUGAACCUGCGGAAGGAUCAUUAGCAAAUCUACACUACGCUAGUAACCUGUGAGAACGAUGCGUGGGGUGUGUGUACGCACACACCCCCGCUCCAAGACGAUGAUUGUCAGAGGUACGUGCGUAACCGCAAACAACUUUUAACAAUGGAUCUCUUGGCUCUU
rnacentral:misc_RNA from 1 species